rnacentral:rRNA from 1 species
UACGGAGGGAGCUAGCGUUGUUCGGAAUUACUGGGCGUAAAGCGCACGUAGGCGGCUUUGUAAGUUAGAGGUGAAAGCCCGGGGCUCAACCCCGGAAUUGCCUUUAAGACUGCAUCGCUUGAAUCCGGGAGAGGUGAGUGGAAUUCCGAGUGUAGAGGUGAAAUUCGUAGAUAUUGGGAAGAACACCGAUGGCGAAGGCAGCCAUCUGGACCGACACUGACGCUGAGGCGCGAAAGCGUGGGGAGCAAACAGG